GAUGAACGCUGGCGGCGUGCCUAAUACAUGCAAGUCGAGCGAACGGACGAGAAGCUUGUUUCUCUGAUGUUAGCGGCGGACGGGUGAGUAACACGUGGAUAACCUACCUAUAAGACUGGGAUAACUUCGGGAAACCGGAGCUAAUACCGGAUGAUAUUUUGAACCGCAUGGUUCAAUAGUGAAAGACGGUCUUGCUGUCAGUUAUAGAUGUAUCCGCGCUGCAUUAGCUAGUUGGUAAGGUAACGGCCUACCAAGGCAACGAUGCGUAGCCGACCUGAGAGGGGGGUCGGCCACAUUGGAACUGAAACAGGGACCAGACUCCUACGGUAGGCAGCAGAGGGGAAUCUUCCGCAGUGGGCGAAAGCCUGACGGGGCAACGCCGCGCGAGUUAUGAAGGUCUUCGGAUCGUAAAACUCUGUUAUUAGGGAAGAACAUAUGUGUAAGGAACUGUGCAGAUCUUGACGGUACCUAAUCAGAAAGCCACGGCUAACUACGUG
rnacentral:rRNA from 1 species